CUAUUUCCGCAUAAAUUACAUUUACUAGUAUUUAAUUUGAUUAAUAGCGGAAAGUCAAGUUAAGAAAAAGAAGACGCGUUCGGACAGGUAAAAAAUUUUCAUAACUGAUAAACUUUACAAUGAUGGUUUGGAGUUUUACCGAAUUGACUUUUAUACUAUUUUGCUUCUUACUGACAAAAACUAAGGGACAACAGCAAAGAGAAUUGCUGCCUGCAGAUACGUCAAAAAGAACGUCUUCGUUAGUAGGAGGACUAAGAGGGGGUAUAGAAGGAGGUCUAUCAGGAGGACUAAGGAGAGGCCCAUCAGGAGGACGAGGAAGAGGCCUAUCAGGAGGACUAAGAAGAGGCUCAUCAGGAGGACGAGGAAGAGGCCUAUCAAGAGGACUAGGAAGAGGUAACCAAAAAGGAGGACUAGGAGGACAUAACCCUCGUUUGGUGUGUCCAUACUGCCAACAGAAAUGUUUCUGCAAAUGUGCUUGCAGUGUCUGCGUAAAUAAGAUUUGUAACAAACCGACGCGCAAGGAAUGUAGCUGCGCGUGAUUGAGAGAAUGAUGGAAUUCUGAAAGGACACAUGAUUUUGCUCUAUCGACACUGUAAACAAUCCUAACACUACUUAUUGUAGAUGAUUUUAUAUUCUAUAUUAGAGAUUGUACAUCUUACUAUGUAAUUAUUAUUAAAUAUAUUUUAUCUGUUUCAAAUU